CGGAAGUGUGGCCGAGCGGUUGAAGGCACCGGUCUUGAAAACCGGCGACCCGAAAGGGUUCCAGAGUUCGAAUCUCUGCGCUUCC
rnacentral:tRNA from 2 species